GAUGAACGCUAGCGGCAGGCUUAAUACAUGCAAGUCGUGGGGCAGCAUGAAUGUAGCAAUACAUUUGAUGGCGACCGGCAAACGGGUGCGGAACACGUACACAACCUUCCUAUAAGUGGGGAAUAGCCCAGAGAAAUUUGGAUUAAUACCCCGUAACAUAAUGAUGUGGCAUCACAUUAUUAUUAUAGCUUCGGCGCGUAUUGAUGGGUGUGCGGCUGAUUAGAUAGUUGGCGGGGUAACGGCCCACAAAGUCUACGAUCAGUAGCUGAUGUGAGAGCAUAAUCAGCCACACGGGCACUGAGACACGGGCCCGACUCCUACGGGAGGCAGCAGUAAGGAAUAUUGGUCAAUGGACGCAAGUCUGAACCAGCCAUGCCGCGUGAAGGAUUAAGGUCCUCUGGAUUGUAAACUUCUUUUAUCUGGGACGAAAAAAGGCGAUUCUUCGUCACUUGACGGUACCAGAUGAAUAAGCACCGGCUAACUCCGUGCCAGCCGCCGCUGUAAAAC
rnacentral:rRNA from 1 species